UCGUGGGUCAGGAGAACACUGCAGUUCUAAUAAUGCUCUGCUCUCUCUGCAGCUGGCCCCAAGCUGGUUCUCUGCACUUGGAGCACCGCUAAAGAGUGAGAUUUGUAGAAAAGGGCCCCAGGCACACUGGGUCUUAGCUCUGUUUUGGAAUGUUUGUGGUGACAGAUACUUCUGAAGCCUUAAUUCUGACCUCAGUCUUCCGCAAGCUCUUCGGUUAGCGCCCCAGGCCAUGGAGACUCUUGCCCCCAACAAGUGUGCUGGCACUUCUCUGGAAACUUGGAUUUCCACAAAGAAUCUCUCAUCCAUGAGAAACAGAAUUUGUAGGUCUAGAUACUUCGUUCAUUCAUACUAUGUGGCAGCCACAAUUUCUCCUGUGAAGACAGCAGAAAACAAAACAGAAGAUAUCCCUGCCUUCAGGAAGUUUACAGUUCAGUGAGGGUGGAGAGAAGGAGCAAGUCAACAAAAAAGCAACUGAACUGAAUGGAUGAUGAACCAGGCCCAUUCUACAACAGAGAAGGCUUGAUAUUGACUGGAAGUGUCUUCCAAACGGAUACAUUCAAAACCCUCUUUGUGGACCACUUGACUUCUUUAACACAGCCUUUCUUCAGAUGGGUUACUGGACAAAGAAUUCCUUUAAAACUUUGUUCAAACUGGCAGGCUAUUCUGAUCUUAACUGUUGCCCAGUUCUUCACCAGCAGUGUGUUUGUAAACCACUUCUGAAUCAUGUGUUGAAUCUUAGCAAUUCCCUUCUCCAGGGAUGACUCAAUCUCUCAAUUUUGGGAACCAGUACUUACUAUAGACUGCCACCCUGUCUGCUUGGCCCUAAAUAUGCAAGUCCUCCGUGUGGAUAUCAUCACCAUUUCAGUAGGGUUUUCAAGUUACACACUUGGAGAUCUCAACCCCCAAAGUGUAGAAAGGAGGGAGUGAGGACAUCAGAGUUUUAAGUGAAAUAAAUGGAAGGACCAAUUAUGUUAUUGAUUACCAGCCAUGUUUAAAACAAACAAUAUUUGGCAUAUCUUCCCCCUGAGGAAUACAGUCCCAUACAGGUUUCAGACAUUGGUGAAGGAAAGUUAUACAAAGCAAAGCAAAAUACAUCUUUGAAUCUUUGAAUCUUUUAAACUGAUAAAACCCCAGUUGGGAGGGGUAUUCGCCACCCCUUUCAUCUAAAGUAAGGUUCUGACCUUUAUUAGAAGGGCAAAACCAUUUUGUUGCAUGUGCCAUGUUUUAUUUGACAACAAAAUAUAAUUUUUGUUUUGUUUAAAGUAUCCUGCCAAGAAUCAGACAUCAGGAAUAUUUGUUCAAUAGCUGCUUUACUGGCACCACCUGGACCUCAUUCCAGGAUGAUCUGACUAUUAUAAAUUGCCUGUAUCACCAAAGUAUCACACACUGUGAUUUAUCUUUCCAUAGUGGAAAGUAGAGAGCCAGAAUCAUGCAACAGAGGCUUUCUGGUCCAUACGUGGGAGCUUCUCCUUUUCCCCUCCAGUAGAUUAUAUAGUAAUUCUGUUGGCUAAUGUCAUGGAUACCUGG